UUUUAUUGAUAAAAAUAGGACGAAUCUCAAAACGACACUAAAAUAGCAGAAGAUAAAAUAUUACUAAUGGCCAUUGGCCUUAUUACAUUUAAGAAAAAGAAAAGGAAUCCUAACUCCUUGGUCCCAGAAGGACCUUCCCUAAACUCGGCAUUUUUAGCUGCAUCGAACAACUUCACCAACUCGCGAAGUCCUACCAGUUAGUAGGC
rnacentral:lncRNA from 1 species